AGCUACGNAUNAAAUACCCCGCCUGGGGAGUACGGCCGCAAGGCUAAAACUCAAAGGAANUGACGGGGGCCCGCACAAGCGGCGGAGCAUGUGGAUUAAUUCGAUGCAACGCGAAGAACCUUACCUGGGUUUGACAUGCACAGGACGCCAGUAGAGAUAUUGGUUCCCUUGUGGCCUGUGUGCAGGUGGUGCAUGGCUGUCGUCAGCUCGUGUCGUGAGAUGUUGGGUUAAGUCCCGCAACGAGCGCAACCCUUGUCUCAUGUUGCCAGCACGUUAUGGUGGGGACUCGUGAGAGACUGCCGGGGUCAACUCGGAGGAAGGUGGGGAUGACGUCAAGUCAUCAUGCCCCUUAUGUCCAGGGCUUCACACAUGCUACAAUGGCCGGUACAAAGGGCUGCGAUGCCGUGAGGUGGAGCGAAUCCUUUCAAAGCCGGUCUCAGUUCGGAUCGGGGUCUGCAACUCGACCCCGUGAAGUCGGAGUCGCUAGUAAUCGCAGAA
rnacentral:rRNA from 1 species